rnacentral:lncRNA from 1 species
GUAACUGAGUAGCAGAGUACAAGCUACAGUCAUUGGGCAACCAAAGAAGCAGAUAAGCUACAAGGGCUGUAAGAGAAGUUUUCCCAUUGCUGCUUCCCAAGAACAACAGCUCAGAAGUAUACAACCCUGCCCUGCUAUCACAGCCUGCACCCUAAGAAGUAACCAGCAGCUACACUUUCAGCCUCUCUAGUAGCAAUCCUCCCCCAGCAAGCCGGUGGAAGCAGAACCCAAAUGAAAGUACACUAUCACCCAUUGAAAAACAACAGGUUAUUAAGGGCUGGAGAAUCAAAUCUGAAAGCAAAGUGGUGGCUGAAGACAUUUUGACAGAUAUCCUUCAAGAGAGUGAAUAAGUCAUGAAGCAUGGAGAUAUGAACAAGUGAAAGACGGUUGACUCAUGGAUCAGCCUGAAUUUCAAAUAUGACACACUUCUUUUGAUAUUCUGUGUAUUAGCAU